UCGAUUGAUCUAUGAAGCUAUUACUCUGUCGUAAAUAUACUAAUAAACAGGAAUCUGCUUCAGCAGGAACUCUCCUCUCUGCUCUCUCAUUUUUGCAAGUUCUGAUUUUGUUUUCCGUGGUUUCCUUUAAAAGAGGCAAAAUUGAUUUAAAAACAUCUAAAGCAACUGGAAUGUCCUACAAGAUGGGCGCUUCCAAGGAGUGACACUGGAGGUAGAUGGCAUCCAAUUCCACGCAGCAACUCCAGCUCCCAGCACUUUCUACAGCGAUUCUGAAGGUACUCAGCAUAGCGCCUGAUGCAGAGCAGAGUUCAGUAAAUAUCUGUCAAAUAAAUGCACGCCUGCACAAGGGUGAUGCCUGGACCCUGAUUGUCCUCGGACCACAGGGGCCUCUUUUAAAAAAUCAGAUUUCACAAACUCUAGAACCUUUUUGUGUUGCAUUGAUUGCAGACUUCCUAUUUCACGUAUCUACUGUUGAGAUGAAGCCAAAGAAAAUUAAAAAAAAAAAGGUGACCUUUGUUCCAGCCAAAUGGGAAGACUUGCCGUCUCCAACCACAGCC